CAAUCUAGUUGACGCUUUCUGUGGCACUCCAUACAAUAUGCCUCCAGAAUACAUUCUGCAUGAAUUGUAUGAUCCUUGCAAGGAAGCUGUGCGGUCUAUUGGAGUCAUGAUAUAUGAAAUGUUGCACGGCGAACCAGCUUUUACGGAUUACACAACAUUUGCAGAUGUUAUAUCAGGACCGCCAAAACUGGAUGAUUUAUCUGAAGAUUUGCAAGACCUAAUGAGAAAA